rnacentral:rRNA from 1 species
UACGAAGGGGGCUAGCGUUGUUCGGAAUUACUGGGCGUAAAGGGCGCGUAGGCGGUGUGUCAAGUCAGGCGUGAAAGCCCCGGGCUCAACCUGGGAACAGCGCUUGAGACUGGCACGCUCGAGUUCGGGAGAGGAUGGUGGAAUUCCCAGUGUAGAGGUGAAAUUCGUAGAUAUUCGGAAGAACACCAGUGGCGAAGGCGACACACUGGCCCAUUACUGACGCUGAGGCUCGAAAGCGUGGGGAGCAAACAGG